GCCCGGGUGGCGAAACUGGUAGACGCAAGGGACUUAAAAUCCCUCGGCCGCAAGGCUGUGCGGGUUCGAUUCCCGCCCCGGGCACCA
rnacentral:tRNA from 1 species